rnacentral:rRNA from 1 species
AGUGGCGGACUGGUGAGUAACACGUGGGUGACCUACCCUGGAGUUGGGGAUAACCAUUAGAAAUAGUGGAUAAUACCGAAUACGAUUGCUGUCGCUUUGGCGAUGCAAGGAAAGGAGCUACGGCUCCGCUCUAGGAUGGGCCCGCGUCCCAUUAGCUAGUUGGUGAGGUAAAGGCUCACCAAGGCGACGAUGGGUAUCCGGCCUGAGAGGGUGUACGGACACAUUGGGACUGAGAUACGGCCCAAACUCC